rnacentral:lncRNA from 1 species
UAUGGAUUCAGGUUAGCUUCCGCUCAUGUAGUUUAUAUAUCCGAAUUAUUCAAUAUGAAGGUUGUUGUCUUUAGUAGGAAUCAUAAUCCUAACAGUAAUGACCCGAUUGAUUGUUUCUAUCUCUAGCGCGUUGUUCGGCGGUUUAAGUCGUGAACAGCUUCACUGCAGGUAUUAUGAUUUAUACUCGUGGUCGAAAUUGAAUUUCGGAAGUUCAGUGUUGAUUUGGAAAGAAAUUCUCAUUUCGGAAGCUUUAAGUUGGAAGAAUUGACUAAAGUAUUAUUUUUGAGUAAAUGACUUCAGAAUCGAGAUUUGAAGGUUCCAACAUGUUCAUAUGAUGAUAUUGAACUUGGGGUAUGCCUAAAUUGGGUUUUACAUGACCUGGGAGCGUUUCGGCGCCUGUUGUGAAAGUUAGCAUUUUGAAAAAAUUUCAUAAAUUUGAAUUGUUACAUCCCGUGCUUUAAUAUUAUGAUAAGUCGCAGUAAACCAUAUGAGAUUGAAGGGAUUAAAACUAUUCAUGAGAUUUUAGAGGAUUUGUGGCUAUGUUAUUGUAAGACCCCGGAAGUUUAACAACCUUG